GCCGAUGUAGCUCAGUUGGUAGAGCAUUCGCUUCGUAAGUGAACGGUCAUCAGUUCGAGUCUGAUCAUCGGCU
rnacentral:tRNA from 1 species